AAUAAGAUGAUGAUCGGGACGAGUAGACCAGAUUCGGUUAUUAGAGAUGGGAAUCCACCGGCUGAAAGAUUUCCUUGACUUGAAGGGUUGAAAACCACCCAGGAGUUUCAUUCUGAAAUAUCAGUAAGAAUCGACGUUCGCUGCGUUAAAGCUUUGAGUGGGUUUAUACCAAUUUGGGUGGAACCGCGGGAGAAAUAUGCUCCCGUCCCUUUU
rfam:Clostridia bacterium BRH_c25 BRHa_1000851, whole genome shotgun sequence.